AGCUGUUGUUGAUAUGAUCAUCUGAGAGUUAAAAUGUGCCUGCCUCCCAUACAGAAUCAGAAUCAUCUUCAUCCCUGUGGUUCCCAAGCCAUCCCCAAACCUUCAAAACAUCGAGGAUUGGUUUAAAUUCCCUAAAGGCCUGAAAGAGGGUUUAAACUACAAUGAGCGUCCCUGCCCUGUGCGUGAGUACUGCCAUGUCCGCCAGUCCGACAGCGAGAGCUCUGACUGCUCAACCUGCUCUGUCACCACCGACCAAACCGACUGCUCCGUCUUCAUCCCUGUGAACGAAUCGGACCUGUCUACUCCCUGCUCCUCUUCCAUCUCACAGUUUUAGUUUCAUCUGAGGAAGAGAAGCAGGUUUCUGUUUAGGAGGCAUCUCAAUCAGGGAUCAGAAAAUGGAUCAAGAUAUGUUUGGUUUCCCCUAUGAGAAGAAACCAGAUAUUUGUUCAAGGCACUUAAAAGCAAUUGAUUCAAUUAAAGCUAUUCAUGUUACAGAAUAUCAACAAUAUGAUGCAGGAGUUACAGGUAAAAAAAA